rnacentral:rRNA from 1 species
UUUCAAAAUUCUUUCGAGGAAAAGAAACCAACCGGGAUUGCCUUAGUAACGGCGAGUGAAGCGGCAAAAGCUCAAAUUUGAAAUCUGGUACCUUCGGUGCCCGAGUUGUAAUUUGGAGAGGGCAACUUUGGGGCCGUUCCUUGUCUAUGUUCCUUGGAACAGGACGUCAUAGAGGGUGAGAAUCCCGUGUGGCGAGGAGUGCGGUUCUUUGUAAAGUGCCUUCGAAGAGUCGAGUUGUUUGGGAAUGCAGCUCUAAGUGGGUGGUAAAUUCCAUCUAAAGCUAAAUAUUGGCGAGAGACCGAUAGCGAACAAGUACAGUGAUGGAAAGAUGAAAAGAACUUUGAAAAGAGAGUGAAAAAGUACGUGAAAUUGUUGAAAGGGAAGGGCAUUUGAUCAGACAUGGUGUUUUGUGCCCUCUGCUCCUUGUGGGUAGGGGAAUCUCGCAUUUCACUGGGCCAGCAUCAGUUUUGGUGGCAGGAUAAAUCCAUAGGAAUGUAGCUUGCCUCGGUAAGUAUUAUAGCCUGUGGGAAUACUGCCAGCUGGGACUGAGGACUGCGACGUAAGUCAAGGAUGCUGGCAUAAUGGUUAUAUGCCGCCC